rnacentral:rRNA from 1 species
CCUACGGGGGUCAGCAGUGAGGAAUAUUGGUCAAUGGACGAGAGUCUGAACCAGCCAAGUAGCGUGAAGGAUGACUGCCCUAUGGGUUGUAAACUUCUUUUAUAUGGGAAUAAAAUGUUCCACGUGUGGGAUUUUGUAUGUACCAUAUGAAUAAGGAUCGGCUAACUCCGUGCCAGCAGCCGCGGUAAUAAGGAGGAUCCGAGCGUUAUCCGGAUUUAUUGGGUUUAAAGGGAGCGUAGGUGGAUUGUUAAGUCAGUUGUGAAAGUUUGCGGCUAAACCGUAAAAUUGCAGUUGAAACUGGCAGUCUUGAGUACAGUAGAGGUGGGCGGAAUUCGUGGUGUAGCGGUGAAAUGCUUAGAUAUCACGAAGAACUCCGAUUGCGAAGGCAGUUCACUGGACUGCAACUGACACUGAGGCUCGAAAGUGUGGGUAUCAAACAGGAUUAGAUACCCUUGUAGUC